UACGUAGGGUGCAAGCGUUGUCCGGAAUUAUUGGGCGUAAAGAGCUCGUAGGCGGUCUGUCGCGUCUGCUGUGAAAACUCAGGGCUUAACCCUGAGCUUGCAGUGGGUACGGGCAGACUAGAGUGCGGUAGGGGAGACUGGAAUACUUGGUGUAGCAGUGAAAUGCGUAGAUACCAAGUGGAACACCAGUGGCGAAGGCGAGUCCCUGGACAGAUCCUGACGCUGAGGCACGAAAGCUAGGGGAGCAAACAGG
rnacentral:rRNA from 1 species